GCAGAAAUGAAACAGAAGUUGGGGAUUCCACCUAGAAUGCUAAUGCAGGUGAGACAGUCACAUGUCAUGUACAGCUAAAAUCCUCAGCAUAGCUGCUUGGAUGAGUUUUCUUUUAAUCUACAUUUGAAUACACGUGACUAAUGAGUAAAGCUGCUAAAUAUUUGAAAAAAUAUAUAUUUUUUGUGGCUUCUUUUGUAAUAUUUGUUAUUUUUCAGAAUUCUUACAGCUUCAUCAUGACAUUAUUCUUUCUGCUGCAUGAAAUCACACUACUGACUAUUACCACACUAUGAUGUUUUCAGUGUAGCCUAAUUAAGUGAGCUCAACUUAAUUUUAAACCUCAGGUUUUUGAAACCAGCCAGACAGCAUAUGACAUCUAUGGCUAAUCUCACCUGCUGCCAUCGCCUGUUCCUUCUCACCUGCUGCUCUUGCCUGCUGUUACUUGACUUUCAGAGGAAGCUAAGGAGCAUAAAACAUGGCUGAGUCAAGAACCUCACGGGCUGGCAUUUAACUAUGAACUCUACUUUCCACCUGUCUCUAUUUCUAUUUGAAAAUUACAGACUUGUGUUUCAACUUUUUCUUAUUAUUUAUGCAGGCAGGUCUGGG